UACGGAGGAGGCAAGCGUUAUCCGGAAUUAUUGGGCGUAAAGCGUCCGUAGGUGGCUCUUCAAGUCUGCUGUCAAAGAGCGGGGCUUAACCCUGCAAAGGCAGUGGAAACUGAAAGGCUAGAGAGCCGUAGGGGUAGAGGGAAUUCCUGGUGUAGCGGUGAAAUGCGUAGAUAUCGAGAGGAACACCAGUGGCGAAGGCGAGUCUCUGGACGACUCCUGACACUGAGGCACGAAAGCUAGGGGAGCAAACAGG
rnacentral:rRNA from 1 species